rnacentral:rRNA from 1 species
UAGCGGAGGGGUUAGCGUUGUUCGGAAUGACUGGGCGUAAAGCGCGCGUAGGCGGACCUGCAAGUCGGGGGUGAAAUCCCGGGGCUCAACCCUGGAAUGGCCUUCGAGACUGCCGGUCUUGAGUUCGAGAGAGGUGAGUGGAACUGCGAGUGUAGAGGUGAAAUUCGUAGAUAUUCGCAAGAACACCAGUGGCGAAGGCGGCUCACUGGCCCGAUACUGACGCUGAGGCACGAAAGCGUGGGGAGCAAACAGGG